rnacentral:rRNA from 1 species
CCUACGGGAGGCAGCAGUGAGGAAUAUUGGUCAAUGGGCGCGAGCCUGAACCAGCCAAGUAGCGUGAAGGAUGACUGCCCUACGGGUUGUAAACUUCUUUUAUACAGGAAUAACGCGACUCACGUGUACCUCUUUGCAUGUACUUUAUGAAUAAGGAUCGGCUAACUCCGUGCCAGCAGCCGCGGUAAUACGGAGGAUCCGAGCGUUAUCCGGAUUUAUUGGGUGUAAAGGGAGAGUAGAUGGGUUAGCAAGUCAGUUGUGAAAGUUUGGGGCUCAACCGUGAAAUUGCAAUUGAUACUGGCUGUCUUGAGUGCUGGUGAGGCAAGCGGAAUUCGGGGUGUAGCGGUGAAAUGCUUAGAUAUCACGAGGAACACC